rnacentral:rRNA from 1 species
GAUGAACGCUAGCGGCAGGCCUAAUACAUGCAAGUCGAACGGAUAUAUGUUUUUCGGAAUAUAUAUUAGUGGCGCACGGGUGAGUAACACGUAGGUGACCUUCCGAAUAGUGGGGGAUAACUCGGAGAAAUCCGGGCUAAUACCGCAUAUGUACGACAAAUCUGAGAGUAGUCGUAGAAAGAAUGCCUCUACUUGUAAGCAUUCGCUAAUCGAUGGGCCUGCGGAGCAUUAGCUAGUUGGUGGGGUAAUGGCCUACCAAGGCUACGAUGCUUAACGGAUCUGAGAGGAUGAUCCGUCACACUGGAACUGAGACACGGUCCAGACUCCUACGGGAGGCAGCAGUGGGGAAUAUUGCGCAAUGGACGCAAGUCUGACGCAGCAAUACCGCGUGAGUGAAGAAGGCCUCGGUUGUAA